AUCAGCCCGCGCCCCGUAAAACGGGACGGCCCGCCCGAGGACCCCUAAACUCUGUUUUUAGUGGAACUUCUGAGUAAAACAAACAAAUAAAUCAAAACUUUCAACAACGGAUCUCUUGGUUCUGGCAUCGAUGAAGAACGCAGCAAAAUGCGAUAAGUAAUGUGAAUUGCAGAAUUCAGUGAAUCAUCGAAUCUUUGAACGCACAUUGCGCCCGCCAGUAUUCUGGCGGCAUGCCUGUUCGAGCGUCAUUUCAACCCUCAAGCUCAGCUUGGUGUUGGGACUCGCGGUAACCCGCGUUCCCCAAAUCGAUUGGCGGUCACGUCGAGCUUCCAUAGCGUAGUAAUCAUACACCUCGUUACUGGAAAUCGUCGCGGCCACGCCGAAAAACCCCAACUUCUGAAUGUUGACCUCGGAUCAGGUAGGAAUACCCGCUGAACUUAAGCAUA
rnacentral:rRNA from 1 species